UACGUAGGGAGCAAGCGUUGUCCGGAAUCAUUGGGCGUAAAGCGCGCGUAGGUGGUCCCGUAAGUCCGCUGUGAAAGUCAAAGGCUCAACCUUUGAAAGCCGGUGGAUACUGUGGGACUAGAGUACGGAAGAGGCGAGUGGAAUUCCUGGUGUAGCGGUGGAAUGCGCAGAUAUCAGGAGGAACACCAAUAGCGAAGGCAGCCCGCUGGGACGUUACUGACACUGAGGCGCGAAAGCGUGGGGAGCGAACAGG
rnacentral:rRNA from 1 species